CUGAAUAACCAACUGUCAAACGCAGAUAAGUUUGGUUUCUUGUUUUGAAUCAUAAGCUGCUGUUUUAUGGUUGCCCACUGCAUUUGAUACGAAGAUGGGAGUUUUUGCAGUAAUUGUUGAAGUAAAAAAGAAUUAUUUAUCUCAUCUGGCAAGUUGCCGGCUUUAAUAGUGGCGAUUAGACUACGGACGUUUAUCGCAAAAGUUCAAUAUCUUUUCGGGUUGGCCGUAGAGCAUUCGAAGAAUAUCGAUGACGGCAGAGACAUUUGAUGGAUGGAUAAGCAAAUGCUGUACACUAUAAAGUGCUUCACCUUUUAAAGACUUUUGGAGACGAAUUAAGUUCUCGGCCUCCGAAAAGCAGCAAGUUGAGGUGGACCAUUCGAAAGUGGAAAUAAAUAAUGGCCAGUCUUCGGCGUGCCCGGAAAAUAUUGGCAGUUCCUUGGGAACAGAUUGUCUAGCAUUGAUGCUGCUUUGUUGCAGUAGAUUGCUAUUAUGAAAUUGGGAUGUGCUAUUGAAACUGUUCGUUUGGGGGCGCAUUGUAGAUGAAAUGGGUGCUUGAUAAAUAAAAGAUUGUGUAUUUUCGGGAUAA